AAACCAUGAUAGGGGCAUUGUCUUAACAAACUCUUGAUUCAGUCUCAUGCUUCAAAUAGUGAUUCUCCAUCUGCCUGAGCAAAGUAUGUGAUGCAACUCCUCAUGU